rnacentral:rRNA from 1 species
UACGUAGGUGGCGAGCGUUGUCCGGAAUUACUGGGCGUAAAGCGCGCGUAGGCGGUGGCGUGAGUCGGGCGUGAAAGCCCCCGGCCCAACCGGGGAAUUGCACUUGAUACUGCUAGGCUAGAGUUCAGGAGAGGGUGGCGGAAUUCCAGGUGUAGGAGUGAAAUCCGUAGAUAUCUGGAGGAACACCGGUGGCGAAGGCGGCCACCUGGACUGACACUGACGCUGAGGUGCGAAAGCGUGGGUAGCAAACAGG